rnacentral:rRNA from 1 species
GACGAAGGGGGCUAGCGUUGUUCGGAAUUACUGGGCGUAAAGCGCGCGUAGGCGGCUUUGUAAGUUAGAGGUGAAAGCCCGGGGCUCAACCCCGGAACUGCCUUUAAAACUGCAUCGCUUGAAUCCGGGAGAGGUGAGUGGAAUUCCUAGUGUAGAGGUGAAAUUCGUAGAUAUUAGGAAGAACACCAGUGGCGAAGGCGGCUCACUGGCCCGGUACUGACGCUGAGGCGCGAAAGCGUGGGGAGCAAACAGG